CACGUAGGGGGCGAGCGUUGUCCGGAUUCAUUGGGCGUAAAGGGCGCGCAGGCGGCCCGGAAAGUCGGAUGUGAAAACUCGAGGCUCAACCUCGAGCGUGCACCCGAUACUGCCGGGCUUGAGGCAGGUAGGGGAGAUCGGAAUUCCUGGUGUAGCGGUGAAAUGCGCAGAUAUCAGGAGGAACACCGGUGGCGAAGGCGGAUCUCUGGGCCUGUCCUGACGCUGAGGAGCGAAAGCGUGGGGAGCGAACAGG
rnacentral:rRNA from 1 species